rnacentral:rRNA from 1 species
GAUGAACGCUGGCGGCGUGCCUAAUACAUGCAAGUCGAGCGAACAGACGAGGAGCUUGCUCCUCUGACGUUAGCGGCGGACGGGUGAGUAACACGUGGAUAACCUACCUAUAAGACUGGGAUAACUUCGGGAAACCGGAGCUAAUACCGGAUAAUAUAUUGAACCGCAUGGUUCAAUAGUGAAAGACGGUUUUGCUGUCACUUAUAGAUGGAUCCGCGCCGCAUUAGCUAGUUGGUAAGGUAACGGCUUACCAAGGCAACGAUGCGUAGCCGACCUGAGAGGGUGAUCGGCCACACGGGAACUGAGACACGGUCAAGACUCCUACGGGAGGCAGCAGUAGGGAAUCUUCCGCAAUGGGCAAAAGCUUGACGGAGCAACGCCGCGUGAGUGAUGAAGGUCUUCGGAUCGUAAAACUCUGUUAUUAGGGAAGAACAAAUGUGUAAGUAACUAUGCACGUCUUGACGGUACCUAAUCAGAAAGCCACGGCUAACUACGUG